ensembl:lncRNA
CUCACCAGGAUUGGAGAAUCGCCUGCAGGGCUCGCAGCCGCGGUCCCACAGAGCAGCAGAGGGUCCAGAUCAGCAGAGGGUCCACACUUCCUGCCAGGGAAGAUCCAGGGCAGAAGGAGAAGAGGGCGGCCGAGGAUGAGAUGCUUGGAUGGCAUCACCGACUCGAUGGACAUGAACUUGGGCGAACUCUGGGAGAUGGUGAUGGACAGGGAGGCCUGGCGUGCUGCGGUCCAUGGGGUCGCAAAGAGUCGGACACGACUAAGCGACUGAACAGCAGCAACUACUCCCUUCCGAUGGGAAGCCUGGCUCCAGCCACAGGAAUCCUGGGGGUGAGGGGAGGCGUGGAAGCACCCCCAAGUGACUUUGGCUGUUUCUCAUUCUGGGUUGGUGAUCCCAAAGCUGCCUGUGGAGACUUCCCAGAGUGUUUCCAACACUUUAAAGCUUGCGCAGAUAGAAAUCAAGUGGAGACUUAAUGCACGUGUAUUUAAGAUUGAUCUGUUGCAGGAGCAUGUCCUCCUCUGUAAAGCCGUGGGUCAGCACAGCCUGGGACCUGCCCACCUGAGCAGGGAGAGGGGCCACCACUUGGACCGUGUGACCUUGAGCAGUACAUCCUCUGGAGGAACCACACAUGACAAGACAAGCUCUUUAUCGUCAAGCUAAUUUACAUAAGAAAUAUACAGUGUGCAUGUGAUUUUUUAAAAAUUAAUUACUUUACUUGUUUUGGCUGUGCUGGGUCUUUGUU